AUUGAACGCUGGCGGCAGGCUUAACACAUGCAAGUCGAGCGGGGUGAUGGUGCUUGCACUAUCACUUAGCGGCGGACGGGUGAGUAAUGCUUAGGAAUCUGCCUAUUAGUGGGGGACAACAUCUCGAAAGGGAUGCUAAUACCGCAUACGUCCUACGGGAGAAAGCAGGGGAUCACUUGUGACCUUGCGCUAAUAGAUGAGCCUAAAUCGGAUUAGCUAGUUGGUGGGGUAAAGGCCUACCAAGGCGACGAUCUGUAGCGGGUCUGAGAGGAUGAUCCGGCAAACUGGGUCUGAGACACGGCCCAGACUCCUCCGGGAGGCAGCAGUGGUGAAUAUUGGACAAUGUGGGGUACCCUGAUCCAGCCAUGCCGCGUGUGUGAAGAAGGCCUUAUGGUUGUAAAGCACUUUAAGCGAAGAGGAGGCUCUUUUGGUUAAUACCCAAGAUGAGUGGACGUUACUCGCAGAAUAAGCACCGGCUAACUCUGUGCCAGCCGCCGCGGUAA
rnacentral:rRNA from 1 species